rnacentral:rRNA from 1 species
GAACGCUGGCGGCAGGCCUAACACAUGCAAGUCGAACGGUAACAGGAAGCAGCUUGCUGCUUCGCUGACGAGUGGCGGACGGGUGAGUAAUGUCUGGGAAACUGCCUGAUGGAGGGGGAUAACUACUGGAAACGGUAGCUAAUACCGCAUAACGUCGCAAGACCAAAGAGGGGGACCUUCGGGCCUCUUGCCAUCGGAUGUGCCCAGAUGGGAUUAGCUAGUAGGUGGGGUAACGGCUCACCUAGGCGACGAUCCCUAGCUGGUCUGAGAGGAUGACCAGCCACACUGGAACUGAGACACGGUCCAGACUCCUACGGGAGGCAGCAGUGGGGAAUAUUGCACAAUGGGCGCAAGCCUGAUGCAGCCAUGCCGCGUGUAUGAAGAAGGCCUUCGGGUUGUAAAGUACUUUCAGCGGGGAGGAAGGCGAUAAGGUUAAUAACCUUGUCGAUUGACGUUACCCGCAGAAGAAGCACCGGCUAACUCCGUGCCAGCAGCCGCGGUAAUACGGAGGGUGCAAGCGUUAAUCGGAAUUACUGGGCGUAAAGCGCACGCAGGCGGUCUGUCAAGUCGGAUGUGAAAUCCCCGGGCUCAACCUGGGAACUGCAUUCGAAACUGGCAGGCUAGAGUCUUGUAGAGGGGGGUAGAAUUCCAGGUGUAGCGGUGAAAUGCGUAGAGAUCUGGAGGAAUACCGGUGGCGAAGGCGGCCCCCUGGACAAAGACUGACGCUCAGGUGCGAAAGCGUGGGGAGCAAACAGGAUUAGAUACCCUGGUAGUCCACGCCGUAAACGAUGUCGACUUGGAGGUUGUGCCCCUGAGGCGUGGCUUCCGGAGCUAACGCGUUAAGUCGACCGCCUGGGGAGUACGGCCGCAAGGUUAAAACUCAAAUGAAUUGACGGGGGCCCGCACAAGCGGUGGAGCAUGUGGUUUAAUUCGAUGCAACGCGAAGAACCUUACCUACUCUUGACAUCCAGAGAACUUUCCAGAGAUGGAUUGGUGCCUUCGGGAACUCUGAGACAGGUGCUGCAUGGCUGUCGUCAGCUCGUGUUGUGAAAUGUUGGGUUAAGUCCCGCAACGAGCGCAACCCUUAUCCUUUGUUGCCAGCGGUUAGGCCGGGAACUCAAAGGAGACUGCCAGUGAUAAACUGGAGGAAGGUGGGGAUGACGUCAAGUCACCAUGGCCCUUACGAGUAGGGCUACACACGUGCUACAAUGGCGCAUACAAAGAGAAGCGACCUCGCGAGAGCAAGCGGACCUCAUAAAGUGCGUCGUAGUCCGGAUUGGAGUCUGCAACUCGACUCCAUGAAGUCGGAAUCGCUAGUAAUCGUGGAUCAGAAUGCCACGGUGAAUACGUUCCCGGGCCUUGUACACACCGCCCGUCACACCAUGGGAGUGGGUUGCAAAAGAAGUAGGUAGCUUAACCUUCGGGAGGGCGCUUACCACUUUGUGAUUCAUGACUGGGGUGAAGUCGU